rnacentral:misc_RNA from 1 species
AAAGUCGUAACAAGGUUUCCGUAGGUGAACCUGCGGAAGGAUCAUUACCACAUCCAAAAUCUUAUAAACCCACACAUGUGAAGUUAUGAUGAGGAACUUUUCUUCAUUUUUGAACCCCUUUUGAACUUUUUAAUAAGUAAUAAGCAAGACUAAAAACAAUGAGAAAAGAGAAAACAACUUUUAACGGUGGAUCUCUUGGCUCGU